rnacentral:rRNA from 1 species
UGGGGAAUAUUGGACAAUGGGCGCAAGCCUGAUCCAGCCAUGCCGCGUGAGUGAUGAAGGCCCUAGGGUUGUAAAGCUCUUUCACCGGUGAAGAUAAUGACGGUAACCGGAGAAGAAGCCCCGGCUAACUUCGUGCCAGCAGCCGCGGUAAUACGAAGGGUGCUAGCGUUGUUCGGAUUUACUGGGCGUAAAGCGCACGUAGGCGGACUUUUAAGUCAGGGGUGAAAUCCCGGGGCUCAACCCCGGAACUGCCUUUGAUACUGGAAGUCUUGAGUAUGGUAGAGGUGGGUGGAAUUCCGGGUGGAGAGGUGAGAUUCGUAGAUAUUCGGAGGAACACCAGUGGCGAAGGCGGCUCACUGGACCAUUACUGACGCUGAGGUGCGAAAGAGUGGGGAGCAAACAGG